UUAAAAUACUCCUCUGUAUUUCCUUUGUUAAAUUAAAUAUUGUUAUAAGUUUAGUAAGGGUAUAAAAAAAUAUGAUUACAUAAAACAGAAGCAUUACCUAGGUAAGGGAUUUAUUUUGAAAUGUGUGUCUAUAAAGUGCAAUUAUGGGUUGUUUUUAAAAUAAGUCUGAAUGCAGAUGAACUGACAGUGGAUUCUGAAUAUUUUUGCACACUGAGAAAACUUUACAUUAAAGGGGAGUCUGCUUCAUGAGAAAAAUUCUGAUUUCAUAAUUGAUCACAGAUUGUUUCCUUUCAUUUCAUCUGUUGUUUUCCACUUUUAUAUAAAAUAUAUUCCUUUCUUUUGUUAUUUUUGUUUGUCAAUAUCUUUUUUUUUUCCUUCCUUCCUAUAUUUCAGUAUAACUUAAUAUACUUUUGUUGGACAGAAAAUUCUAGUGCAAAAUGAAAGGUAGCCCGAUCACUAAGUUUAGUAAAAGAGAAGGGUGAGCUGCUGGUAACAGUCCACCUCCCACUAAUUCAGUUUAAAAUUCCUGUUGACUUCAUGGAAGCAAUAAGUGGUUAUAAAAUUCCCCAAAUUAAUAGCAAAGAUUUUAUAUGAACUUCAUGGUAAAAUCAGACAAUUCUAAACUUAUGAGAUAAGCAAAAUGUUCUUUAUUAUAACUGCAAUACUAACUUGACCAAACAGUUAGAUUAUCAGUAUUUUGCAUUAUUGAAAAUGUAGCUGACCCUGUAACUUUGAAAUAUAUGUCAUUAAAUACCCUCUCAAGGAAAGUCUAUGCUUUACAGUCCCAUUUUAGUAGGAGGAUUUAUUAAUGAUACAUAGUACAAAAGAGUAUUGACAUUACAGUGUCUUCUCAAGGCUGUAUGUCUCUGAAAUGAUGGCAGAUGUUCCUUAAAGCUUGAAAUUUUCAUACAUACUGUGUAUAUUAUGAAGAGACUUACUUUUGCAUGGGCCUGAUCUGCAAGUGUUCUAAUUAAAACUAUUAGUUCUGAGUACAAAGUGCUUACUGCUCAAAGCUGUUUAAUCUUCAAGUGAGGUGUGCAAUAGAAACUUUGAAGAUCAAACCUUUUACCUUGUUGUCUCUUUUUCCUGUGUGUAAAACAGGUCUCAUGUCUGGCUAGGUCAGGAAUAGACCUAACCAGGUCAGGAAUAGAUUUUUUGAAAAUGCACAACAUCAACUAAAGAAUUACAGUCAUAUUUCUACAUCAUAGCUAUAGUAGUUCUACCAUAGCAGAACUACUCUAUAGUUUUUGAUAAUUCACAAGUAACAAUGGCAUUAUCAUUAAAUACUGGGUAGCGCCUUACCAACAAAGAUGACAGGCAGCAAGACAGCUUACAAUCUCAGCAAACUGUAGGAUACUCUCCAAUAAACUGUUACCUACUCAUGUGAAUAAUUCUCUUACAUCUACUCUGUUUUCUGAAACUUUGAUCAUUCUUCUGUUUUGAAAUACAUAUGAAUUUUAUUUUUCUCUAUAUAUGAAUAAGGGUUUCAAUCAGCAGUUUCCUAAAGAUUGCUUGAUCUUGUUUUGUUUUAUUUUUCUUUCUUGCAGUCCAUUCUGUAGUCAUAGAUCUAUAUUUACCACAAGUAUGCUUUGCCAGUUUUGUAUCCACAAAUCUAACCUUCUGUGUUGGAAGAACUUCAUAGUCUGUCAUUUCUGCAAAUAAGAGUCUAAUAGCUGGUCUGUUUAAAUUAUUUCUAGGAGAAAAUUGGGCUUUCUCCAAAACCUGCUGUUGGCAAGGUUGAUCCUUUAAUGCUAAAUGUGGUUAUUUGGUGAAUUUUCAGGGGUCAGGAGCGUAUCUGUUACAUUUGUCCUUACACAGAGAGUCAGUGAGGACAACUGAAUCCCUUACAUCACAUUAUCACAUUUGUGUGGUCUGAAAGGCUCAUUGAGUAUUAAGCUAUUUCUAUGGAUUUUUUGAACCAGAUUCCAAAUAAUACUGGCUGAAAAUGAAAAUUACCCUUUACCCUUCCUUUUUCUUCUUUUAUUUUAAUAAUCAAAGAAUUCAAGAGUAGGAAAGGUUACCACAUCCUUUCCUCAGCAAGAGUGGACUCCCUUUUUUCUGGAUUGCUCUUUAUUUCUUAAUGGAAAUUCGGGGGGGGGGAGGGGAUCAUCUUCAUUGUUCAUCUUUAGUUUACGUGUAGAAAUAAAAAAGCCUAGUCUUA